AACGAACGCUGGCGGCGUGGAUUAGGCAUGCAAGUCGAACGAGAAUCUGGGGAACCAAGUUUCGGACAAGGUUUCCGGAGGAAAGUGGCGGAAGGGUGAGUACAACAUGGGCAAUCCAUCUCCAAGUUGGGUAUAACUCCCGAAAGGGAGGAUAAUCCCGAAUGUGGGUGACCCGGGGGCAUCCCGGGGGAAACUAAAGGCGGGGACCGCAAGGCCUGCCGCUUGGAGCCGAGCCCGUGCACUAUCAGCUUGUUGGCGGGGUAACGGCCCACCAAGGCGAUGACGGUUAGCUGGUCUGAGAGGAUGGUCAGCCACACUGGGACUGAGAUACUGCCCAGACUCCUACGGGAGGCUGCAGUCGAGAAUCAUUCGCAAUGGGCGGAAGCCUGACGGUGCGACGUCGCGUGGAGGAUGAAAGGUCUUCGGAUUGUAAACUCCUGUCAUGUGGAAUAAACGGCCUUGGUGCGAACAGCACGGAGGAAUGAUAGUACCACAGGAGGAAGAGACGGCUAACUCUGUGCCAGCCGCCGC
rnacentral:rRNA from 1 species